UGGCUUUUUUUUUUUUUUUAAGGGAAGGAUGAAACAUUCCUCCAGUCCAAACACAACCUCUACUUUGAUUAAAUAAAUAUUUAUCUUUAUUGUAACCAUUGUAUAUUUUACCGUUAGUUUAUACCCGGUUUCUGAUUAUUAUUUAAAUUUUUCAUUUGCAGCAGCUAAUCGUUUUUUUCUUUCAGCCCAAAGUGCAGGUCAGUGUAAAAUGUAGCUGAAUGAAGGAAGCCUGGUGUGUCUGAAUUUUUUCAUAAUAUAUCAGAAAUGAGAAAAGGGAGCAUCCGAUCUUCCUUGGCGCGGAUCCCGCGAAAUUCGGAAGGCGCGGUUAGUAAAAAUGCAAGAGUGGAGGACAGCUGGUGGGGUCAGUAAGCACACCGGGAACUUCCAGGCGACACCCCUCUGACUAAGAGGAAUUCGGAGGCGCGAGGAGCAGCGCCGCCCAGACCCCGUUCAUCUAGAAAACAGUCAGCUAGGAGCCCACUGGUCCCCUUCAAUCAUGAUGGAGUUAGGGUGACAUUUGGGGACCACUCAGCCUUCCCAUAAAGGGAGUCCCUGUUGCCUCCGGACUCCUUCAGGUGAACCGGGCGCAGAACCUUGGCCACUUUUUUUUUGCCCACUUGACCCACCCUUCCAACUUCUGCCCAGUAGCCUUCUUCCCUUCCUUCCUCACCUCACCUCACCCCCAGAAACCUCCAGGGGCCAGGCGGGGCAGCUACAGGUUGUUUCGAUCUAGCCUCUUCCAGAUCCGAGAUACGGAAAACAGCCUUCUCACUUUUCUGAUGCUACAGUAUUUUCCUGCUCCUCUGGAUAGUCUGCUAACGCCCACAUCCCGAAAGGAGAUUAUUUUGAGUUUAUUUGUUUGUUUGUUUGUUUUUAGUUGCUUAAAUCAAUACAUCAAAUACAAACUCUUCAAACUUAA